GUGGGGAAUCUUAGACAAUGGGGGCAACCCUGAUCUAGCCAUGCCGCGUGAGUGAUGAAGGCCUUAGGGUCGUAAAGCUCUUUCGCUGGGGAAGAUAAUGACGGUACCCAGUAAAGAAACCCCGGCUAACUCCGUGCCAGCAGCCGCGGUAAUACGGAGGGGGUUAGCGUUGUUCGGAAUUACUGGGCGUACAGCGCGCGUAGGCGGAUUGGAAAGUUGGGGGUGAAAUCCCGGGGCUCAACCCUGGAAUGGCCUUCAAAACUCCCAGUCUUGAGGUCGAGAGAGGUGAGUGGAAUUCCGAGUGUAGAGGUGAAAUUCGUAGAUAUUCGGAGGAACACCAGUGGCGAAGGCGGCUCACUGGCUCGAUACUGACGCUGAGGUGCGAAAGCGUGGGGAGCAAACAGGAUUAGAUACCCGGGUAGUCC
rnacentral:rRNA from 1 species